CAGCAGCAGCGGUAAUACGUGAGGUCCAAGCGUUGUUCGGAAUUACUGGGCGUAAAGCGCACGUAGGCGGCGUCGUAAGUCAGGGGUGAAAUCCCGGGGCUCAACCCCGGAACUGCCCUUGAAACUGCAGCGCUAGAAUCUUGGAGAGGCGAGUGGAAUUCCGAGUGUAGAGGUGAAAUUCGUAGAUAUUCGGAAGAACACCAGUGGCGAAGGCGACUCGCUGGACAAGUAUUGACGCUGAGGUGCGAAAGCGUGGGGAGCA
rnacentral:rRNA from 1 species